rnacentral:snoRNA from 2 species
AGGCUAUGAUGAGAAAAGUCAUGCACCACUCUGAGGAGAUUUACCUCCUUGUGCUGAUAAACAAACUUACAACCCAUUUUACAUCUGAGCCU